UAGGGAAUUUUGGACAAUGGGCGCAAGCCUGAUCCAGCCAUGCCGCGUGAGUGAAGAAGGCCUUCGGGUUGUAAAGCUCUUUUGUCCGGAAAGAAAAGCAUUCGGUGAAUACCCGGAUGUUCUGACGGUACCGGAAGAAUAAGCACCGGCUAACUUCGUGCCAGCAGCCGCGGUAAUACGAAGGGUGCAAGCGUUACUCGGAAUUACUGGGCGUAAAGCGUGCGUAGGUGGUUGUUUAAGUCUGAUGUGAAAGCCCUGGGCUCAACCUGGGAAUGGCAUUGGAAACUGGGCAGCUAGAGUGCGGUAGAGGGUAGUGGAAUUCCCGGUGUAGCAGUGAAAUGCGUAGAGAUCGGGAGGAACAUCUGCGGCGAAGGCGACUGCCUGGACCAGCACUGACACUGAGGCACGAAAGCGUGGGGAGCAAACG
rnacentral:rRNA from 1 species